GGGCCUGUAAUGGUUUCGACGUUGAUGAAAACCCCGAGUGGGACCGUCAACGCACGGCGGUUCGAUUCCGCCCAGGUCCACUA
rnacentral:tmRNA from 1 species